AAUAGAUACCCAGGUAGUCCACGCCGUAAACGAUGAGAACUAGGUGUCGUGGGUGUUGACCCCCGCGGUGCCGUAGCUAACGCAUUAAGUUCUCCGCCUGGGAAGUACGGUCGCAAGACUAAAACUCAAAGGAAUUGACGGGGACCCGCACAAGCAGCGGAGCGUGUGGUUUAAUUCGAUGCAACGCGAAGAACCUUACCAGGGUUUGACAUGUAUGCGACAUCCCUUGAAAGAGGGCUCCCUUCGGGGCGCAUGCACAGGUGCUGCAUGGCUGUCGCCAGCUCGUGUCGUGAGAUGUUGGGUUAAGUCCCGCAACGAGCGCAACCCCUGUGAACUGUUGCCACCGAGCCGUGAGGCUCGAGCACGUCUGUUCAGACUGCCCCGCUCUAACGGGGGAGGAAGGUGGGGACGACGUCAAGUCAGUAUGGCCCUUAGGCCUGGGCUGCACACGUACUACAAUGCCCAGCACAGAACGAUCCAAGACCGCGAGGUGGAGGAAAUCACUAAAACUGGGCCCAGUUCAGAUUG
rnacentral:rRNA from 1 species